rnacentral:misc_RNA from 1 species
UCCCACCCAUCAAUGCUCCAGACACAGAGCUGUGCAUCAGCCCCUGACGAGACAAGCACAUUCAAAGAUUGGGAGAAUGCAAGGCCUGUAAUUUUCUUCUGGUGGCCCUUGAGCUUAGUUUUGACCUCAUCAAUCCGAACAUUGUAUAUCUGGACGGUUGAAUCUUCCAUUCCUAUCGCAACGAUAUUGUUAUCUUGAGGGUGGAAUGCAAGGAAGGUGGCAGCAGGAGGAGGCGGC